UUUUGAAAGAAAGUAAAGACAGUGCAAGUAAUGUGAAUGUCUGAUGUUCCAAAAUGCUAGGAAUACAGAAGAUUUCCCUGUUUCUGCUGCUUUUCGGAAAAGCGCAAGGUGAUUUGAUUUCGGUCAGAAAAGAAAACGAGACAGUAGCUUGUAUAACUUCAAACUUCGAAUAUGCGAUGGCCUUUGUUAAAAAGCCGGUAAAUGACGCAGAUUUCACCAAAGUGGAAUACCUGGACAGCAAAGGAGAGCCUGUAAUGAUGACCAAAUAUGACUGCAACUUGAUUACAGAUAACUGUACAACGUGGAAUAGGAAAAAGGGUGGUAUUGUACAAGGGUGGAUUUUAUCUGGAAAUAUGACAGGGGAUUUGAUUACCGACUACCGUU